UACGUAGGUGGCAAGCGUUGUCCGGAUUUAUUGGGUUUAAAGGGUGCGUAGGUGGUCUAUUAAGUCAGUGCUGAAAUAUCCCGGCUUAACCGGGAGGGUGGCAUUGAUACUGAUGGACUUGAGUAAAGUUGAGGUAGGCGGAAUUGACGGUGUAGCGGUGAAAUGCUUAGAUAUCGUCAAGAACACCUAUAGCGAAGGCAGCUUACUAAGCUUUAACUGACGCUGAGGCACGAAAGUGUGGGGAUCAAACAGG
rnacentral:rRNA from 1 species